ACGAAGGGUGCAAGCGUUACUCGGAAUUACUGGGCGUAAAGCGUGCGUAGGCGGUUUGUUAAGUCUGUCGUGAAAGCCCCGGGCUCAACCUGGGAAUGGCGGUGGAUACUGGCAGGCUAGAGUACGGUAGAGGAUGGUGGAAUUCCCGGUGUAGCAGUGAAAUGCGUAGAGAUCGGGAGGAACAUCUAUGGCGAAGGCAGCCAUCUGGACCAGUACUGACGCUGAGGCACGAAAGCGUGGGGAGCAAACAGG
rnacentral:rRNA from 1 species